rnacentral:rRNA from 1 species
CUACGGGUCGCAGCAGUGAGGAAUUUUGCGCAAUGGGGAAACCCUGACGCAGCAACGCCGCGUGAGUGAUGAAGGCCUUCGGGUCGUAAAGCUCUGUCAAGUGGGAAGAACCCACCCUGUGCUAAUAUCACAGGGUGCUGACGGUACCACUGAAGGAAGCACCGGCUAACUCCGUGCCAGCAGCCGCAGUAAUACGGAGGGUGCAAGCGUUAUUCGGAAUUACUGGGCGUAAAGGGCGCGUAGGCGGCCUUUUAAGUCAGAUGUGAAAUCCCGGGGCUCAACCCCGGAAGUGCAUCUGAAACUAAGAGGCUUGAGUAUGGGAGAGGGAAGUGGAAUUCCUGGUGUAGAGGUGAAAUUCGUAGAUAUCAGGAGGAACACCGGUGGCGAAGGCGACUUCCUGGACCAAUACUGACGCUGAGGCGCGAAGGCGUGGGGAGCAAACAGGAUUAGAUACCCCGGUAGUC